GUCUUUCCUGUAUGAACCUCCAUUCCCCUCUGGCUUCUAGUGGAGUUCAGUCAAAGGAAAACACCCACUGGAAAUCAGUGGAAGGAAGAAAAGUGAGGAAUCACCACACUGUCUUCCACAUGGCUGAACUAUUUACAGUCCCAACAACGGUGUGUUUAUUGAAAUAUAAUUGACAAAAAUUGCUACAAAGGAAAUUAAAUACCUA
rnacentral:lncRNA from 13 species